GUGUCAGCCGCCGCGGUAAUACGUAGGGUGCGAGCGUUAAUCGGAAUUACUGGGCGUAAAGGGUGCGCAGGCGGCGUCGCAAGUCAGGCGUGAAAUCCCCGGGCUUAACCUGGGAAUUGCACUUGAAACUACGAUGCUGGAGUAUGGCAGAGGGAGGUGGAAUUCCACGUGUAGCGGUGAAAUGCGUAGAGAUGUGGAGGAACACCGAUGGCGAAGGCAGCCUCCUGGGCCAAUACUGACGCUCAUGCACGAAAGCGUGGGGAGCAAACAGGAUUAGAUACCCGCGUAGUCC
rnacentral:rRNA from 1 species